UAUUAGAAGGCAACUACAUCCGGAUG
rnacentral:piRNA from 1 species